UACGUAGGGUGCGAGCGUUGGCCGGAAUUACUGGGCGUAAAGAGCUCGUAGGUGGUUUGUCGCGUUGUUCGUGAAAACCGGGGGCUUAACCCUCGGCGUGCGGGCGAUACGGGCAGACUUGGGUACUGCAGGGGAGACUGGAAUUCCUGGUGUAGCGGUGGAAUGCGCAGAUAUCAGGAGGAACACCGGUGGCGAAGGCGGGUCUCUGGGCAGUAACUGACGCUGAGGAGCGAAAGCGUGGGGAGCGAACAGG
rnacentral:rRNA from 1 species